rnacentral:rRNA from 1 species
UACAGAGGUCCCGAGCGUUGUUCGGAUUCAUUGGGCGUAAAGGGUGCGUAGGCGGUGGUGUAAGUUGGAUGUGAAAUCUUGGGGCUUAACCUCAAAAUUGCAUUCAAUACUGCUCCGCUCGAGCGCUGUAGAGGAGAUUGGAAUUUACGGUGUAGCAGUGAAAUGCGUAGAUAUCGUAAGGAACACCAGUGGCGAAAGCGAAUCUCUGGACAGCAGCUGACGCUGAGGCACGAAGGCCAGGGGAGCAAACGGG